rnacentral:rRNA from 1 species
GGAGGAUUUAGCAGUAAAUUAAGAAUAGAGUGCUUAAUUGAACAAGGCCCUGAAGCGCGUACACACCGCCCGUCACCCUCCUCAAGUAUAUUUCAAGGAGCCCCUAACUAAACACCCCACACAUCUAUAUAGAGGAGAUAAGUCGUAACAUGGUAAGUGUACUGGAAGGUGCACUUGGAUAAAC